UACAGAGGGGGCAAGCGUUGUUCGGAAUUACUGGGCGUAAAGGGCGCGUAGGCGGCCUUCUAAGUCGAACGUGAAAUCCCCGGGCUCAACCCGGGAACUGCGUCCGAUACUGGAAGGCUUGAAUCCGGGAGAGGGAUGCGGAAUUCCAGGUGUAGCGGUGGAAUGCGCAGAUAUCAGGAGGAACACCAAUAGCGAAGGCAGCUCGCUGGGACGGUACUGACGCUAAGGCGCGAAAGCGUGGGGAGCGAACAGG
rnacentral:rRNA from 1 species